rnacentral:rRNA from 1 species
UACAGAGGGGGCAAGCGUUGUUCGGAAUUACUGGGCGUAAAGGGCGCGUAGGCGGCCUGCUAAGUCGAACGUGAAAUCCCUGGGCUCAACCCAGGAACUGCGUCCGAUACUGGUUGGCUUGAAUCUGGGAGAGGGAUGUGGAAUUCCAGGUGUAGCGGUGAAAUGCGUAGAUAUCUGGAGGAACACCGGUGGCGAAGGCGACAUCCUGGACCGGUAUUGACGCUGAGGCGCGAAAGCUAGGGGAGCAAACGGG